ACAAAAAAAAAAAAAAAAAAAAAAAUUGAGCCAUUAUGACACUACAGGAGGAGAAGUGUGAGUGCAGUGGUUGGAAAGUGAGGGAAGCUCCAGCUGGAAUAGCCACCUGUCCUGGGCACAGCUGUCCCUUCCAGGACAAAAGGAACAGACUGGACAAGCCCUGCAGGGCUAAUCAGAUAAAAGGCUCCUGGCUAUUACUUUUUGGCACGUAAGCUCAUGUGAAGCUGGCAUCCCACCCCCCUGCACGGGCACGGUGCCACUGUAGCAGAUGGGCGAGCAGUGAAAUGAGCACAAGUGGCAAGUCAGACCCUGUCAGGGUAACUUCCUUUCCAGGAACAAGGAAACUGCACUCAGUGGGGUUGUUCAGCACCUAAAAUACAGUGUUGAUCCACGUCUCUGUAAAGAGAGAGGAAGUGAAAAAUCCACCACAGAAGGCGCUGGAUCUUCUCUUUGCUUUCAGAAAAGCACGAACUUCCCAAAGACACCAC